rnacentral:rRNA from 1 species
GGGCCGCACGCGCGCUACACUGACGGAGCCAGCGAGUACUAGCCUUGGCCGAGAGGCCUGGGUAAUCUUGUGAAACUCCGUCGUGCUGGGGAUAGAGCAUUGGAAUUAUUGCUCUUCAACGAGGAAUUCCUAGUAAGCGCGAGUCAUCAGCUCGCGUUGAUUACGUCCC